CAGAGGAUAGUUUAAAUAAAAUAUUAAUUUUGGAGAUUAACGAUGGGAAUUUUUUCUUUCUCUGA
rnacentral:tRNA from 1 species